rnacentral:rRNA from 1 species
CCUACGGGCGGCAGCAGUGAGGAAUAUUGGUCAAUGGGCGUAAGCCUGAACCAGCCAAGUCGCGUGAGGGAUGAAGGUUCUAUGGAUCGUAAACCUCUUUUAUAAGGGAAUAAAGUGCGGGACGUGUCCCGUUUUGUAUGUACCUUAUGAAUAAGGAUCGGCUAACUCCGUGCCAGCAGCCGCGGUAAUACGGAGGAUCCGAGCGUUAUCCGGAUUUAUUGGGUUUAAAGGGUGCGUAGGCGGCCUUUUAAGUCAGCGGUGAAAGUCUGUGGCUCAACCAUAGAAUUGCCGUUGAAACUGGAAGGCUGGAGUGUGUGUGAGGUAAGCGGAAUUGGUGGUGUAGCGGUGAAAUGCUGAGAUAUCAGGCAGAACCCCAAGUGCGAAGGCGGCCUGCCAGGCCAUGACUGACGCUGAUGCACGAAAGCGUGGGGAUCAAACAGGAUUAGAUACCCCUGUAGUC